GGAUAUGGAUGAAGAUCAAAUAACGGAAGACAGAUGUAACUAGCAACAACGAAAGUGGAUGAUAUAUGGAGGUUGGUGGUGGAUGGAGAUCUCUCGGGAAGGGGAUACUAACUCAGGCGGCUUCCAUUCUUGGAAGAAGUUAGGUGAUGAGAGGCAAAGAUCAGAUAGGAGUGACUUUGGCAAGAGUUUCCCGUGCUGGAAAAAUACAUCAGUAGAAGAAGUU
rnacentral:lncRNA from 1 species